UACGUAGGGGGCAAGCGUUGUCCGGAAUCAUUGGGCGUAAAGCGCGCGUAGGCAGCUUUGUAAGUUAGAGGUGAAAGCCCGGAGCUCAACUCCGGAAUUGCCUUUAAGACUGCAUCGCUUGAAUCCAGGAGAGGUGAGUGGAAUUCCCAGUGUAGCGGUGAAAUGCGUAGAUAUUGGGAGGAACACCAGUGGCGAAGGCGGCUCACUGGACCGGUACUGACGCUGAUGCGCGAAAGCGUGGGGAGCAAACGGG
rnacentral:rRNA from 1 species